ACUCCUACGGGAGGCAGCAGUGGGGAAUAUUGCGCAAUGGGCGGAAGCCUGACGCAGCGACGCCGCGUGAGGGAUGAAGGCCUUCGGGUCGUAAACCUCUUUCAGCAGGGAAGAAGCGAGAGUGACGGUACCUGCAGAAGAAGCACCGGCUAACUACGUGCCAGCAGCCGCGGUAAUACGUAGGGUGCAAGCGUUGUCCGGAAUUAUUGGGCGUAAAGAGCUCGUAGGCGGUCUGUCGCGUCUGCUGUGAAAACUCAGGGCUUAACCCUGAGCUUGCAGUGGGUACGGGCAGACUAGAGUGCGGUAGGGGAGACUGGAAUUCCUGGUGUAGCGGUGAAAUGCGCAGAUAUCAGGAGGAACACCGGUGGCGAAGGCGGGUCUCUGGGCCGUAACUGACGCUGAGGAGCGAAAGCAUGGGGAGCGAACAGGAUUAGAUACCCUGGUAGUCCAUGCCGUAAACGUUGGGCGCUAGGUGUGGGGACCUUUCCAUGGUUUCCGUGCCGCAGCUAACGCAUUAAGCGCCCCGCCUGGGGAGUACGGCCGCAAGGCUAAAACUCAAAGGAAUUGACGGGGGCCCGCACAAGCGGCGGAGCAUGCGGAUUAAUUCGAUGCAACGCGAAGAACCUUACCAAGGCUUGACAUGGGGUGAAAACUCGCAGAGAUGCGGGGUCCGUAAGGGCGCCUCACAGGUGGUGCAUGGUUGUCGUCAGCUCGUGUCGUGAGAUGUUGGGUUAAGUCCCGCAACGAGCGCAACCCUCGUUCCAUGUUGCCAGCGCGUUAUGGCGGGGACUCAUGGGAGACUGCCGGGGUCAACUCGGA
rnacentral:rRNA from 1 species